UGAACGCUGGCGGUAGGCCUAACACAUGCACAUCGAACGGCAGCACAGUAAGAGCUUGCUCUUACGGGUGGCGAGUGGCGGACGGGUGAGGAAUACAUCGGAAUCUACUUUUUCGUGGGGGAUAACGUAGGGAAACUUACGCUAAUACCGCAUACGACCUACGGGUGAAAGCAGGGGAUCUUCGGACCUUGCGCGAUUGAAUGAGCCGAUGUCGGAUUAGCUAGUUGGCGGGGUAAAGGCCCACCAAGGCGACGAUCCGUAGCUGGUCUGAGAGGAUGAUCAGCCACACUGGAACUGAGACACGGUCCAGACUCCUACGCGAGGCAGCAGUGGGGAAUAUUGGACAAUGGGCGCGAGCCUGAUCCAGCCAUACCGCGUGGGUGAAGAAGGCCUUCGGGUUGUAAAGCCCUUUUGUUGGGAAAGAAAAGCAGCAGGUUAAUACCCCGCUGUUCUGACGGUACCCAAAGAAUAAGCACCGGCUAACUUCGUG
rnacentral:rRNA from 1 species